rnacentral:rRNA from 1 species
CCUACGGGAGGCAGCAGUGAGGAAUAUUGGUCAAUGGCCGAGAGGCUGAACCAGCCAAGUCGCGUGAGGGAAGAAUGUCCUAUGGAUUGUAAACCUCUUUUGUCAGGGAGCAAAGUCACCCACGUGUGGGGGUUGGAGAGUACCUGAAGAAAAAGCAUCGGCUAACUCCGUGCCAGCAGCCGCGGUAAUACGGAGGAUGCGAGCGUUAGCCGGAUUUAUUGGGUUUAAAGGGUGCGUAGGCGGAUUGAUAAGGUUGAGGGGAAAAGUCCGAGCUUAACUCGGGAACUGCCUCGAAUACUGUUGAUCUAGAGAGUAGAUGCGGUAGGUGGAAUGUAAGGUGUAGCGGUGAAAUGCUUAGAGAUCAUACAGAACACCGAUUGCGAAGGCAGCUUACCAAUCUAUAUCUGACGUUGAGGCUCGAAAGCGUGGGGAGCAAACAGGAUUAGAUACCCGGGUAGUC